rnacentral:rRNA from 1 species
CCAGCUUGCUGGGUGGAUUAGUGGCGAACGGGUGAGUAACACGUGAGUAACCUGCCCCCGACUCUGGGAUAAGCCCGGGAAACUGGGUCUAAUACCGGAUAUUACCUCUUGCCGCAUGGCAGGUGGUGGAAAGAUUUAUCGGUGGGGGAUGGACUCGCGGCCUAUCAGCUUGUUGGUGAGGUAAUGGCUCACCAAGGCGACGACGGGUAGCCGGCCUGAGAGGGUGACCGGCCACACUGGGACUGAGACACGGCCCAGACUCCUACGGGAGGCAGCAGUGGGGAAUAUUGCACAAUGGGCGAAAGCCUGAUGCAGCGACGCCGCGUGAGGGAUGACGGCCUUCGGGUUGUAAACCUCUUUCAGUAGGGAAGAAGCGAAAGUGACGGUACCUGCAGAAGAAGCGCCGGCUAACUACGUGCCAGCAGCCGCGGUAAUACGUAGGGCGCAAGCGUUAUCCGGAUUUAUUGGGCGUAAAGAGCUCGUAGGCGGUUUGUCGCGUCUGCCGUGAAAGUCCGAGGCUCAACCUCGGAUCUGCGGUGGGUACGGGCAGACUAGAGUGAUGUAGGGGAGACUGGAAUUCCUGGUGUAGCGGUGAAAUGCGCAGAUAUCAGGAGGAACACCGAUGGCGAAGGCAGGUCUCUGGGCAUUUACUGACGCUGAGGAGCGAAAGCAUGGGGAGCGAACAGGAUUAGAUACCCUGGUAGUCCAUGCCGUAAACGUUGGGCACUAGGUGUGGGGGA